rnacentral:rRNA from 1 species
AUACGGAGGAUCCGAGCGUUAUCCGGAUUUAUUGGGUUUAAAGGGUGCGCAGGCGGGAGAUUAAGUCGGCGGUCAAAUGUCGGUGCCCAACAUCGUCCUUCCGUUGAAACUGGCAGUCUUGAAUGCACACAGGGAAGGUGGAAUUCGUCGUGUAGCGGUGAAAUGCUUAGAUAUGACGAGGAACUCCGAUCGCGAAGGCAUCCUUCUGGAGUGCGAUUGACGCUGAGGCUCGAAAGCGCGGGUAUCAAACAGGAUUAGAUACCCUGGUAGUCCGCGCCGUAAACGAUGGAUGCUCGUCAUUGGGGCAUUAGUUUCAGUGACCAAGCGAAAGCAUUAAGCAUCCCACCUGGGGAGUACGCCGGCAACGGUGAAACUCAAAUGAAUUGACGGGG